rnacentral:ncRNA from 1 species
UAUAAAGCGUUGAUGAGAAGAGUAGAAUGUGGAAUAUUCCAGAGAGAGAUAUGGGUGCUGUGAAUAUCUCAAUAGGAAGCAUUUGAAAACUAACUCGGAGUGGCUCUAAUCCAGCCCGGUGAUUCCGUUACAAUCAUAAUUGAGUGGUUUGAAAAAAAACAAUUAGGGUGGAACCGCGAGUGCAUAUAAUAGGACUCGUCCCUUUC